UACGUAGGGACCAAGCGUUGUUCGGAUUUACUGGGCGUAAAGGGCGUGUAGGCGGCCACUGCAAGUCGGUUGUGAAAUCUCCGGGCUUAACCCGGAAAGGUCAAUCGAUACUGCAGGGCUAGAGUGCAGAAGGGGCAACUGGAAUUCUCGGUGUAGCGGUGAAAUGCGUAGAUAUCGAGAGGAACACCUGCGGCGAAGGCGGGUUGCUGGGCUGACACUGACGCUGAAGCGCGAAAGCUAGGGGAGCGAACGGG
rnacentral:rRNA from 1 species